GACGACCGGCCUUCCUUGCAACGGCAGAUUGCACAUGAUGAUGAUGGCGCAAUUCAUAUCAACAUCAAGAAACAAGAUAAUGAAGGAAACAUGCUGUCAGGGUCGAGGGACGAACUGGUCAAGAACGAGGAGUUGAACCUUGACGACGACGAAGCAGCAAGGAGUAGAAAAAUAACACGUGACGAGGGCCACCUCUUUGCCGAGGUCCGAUUCCAGCCGCAGGUGCAUGGGAAGCACCUGACGCGGUCGAUAUCCAGCUGAAGUUUGUGUUCCGCCACUGUCCGGUCCCGGGCCCACACUUUCUAAACCGUUGUUUGGAAGCACUUCAGAAGCGGCUGCCCUGGCAAGGUGAUAAGGAGCGGGACGGCAUCCGGCUGCGAGUGCUUGUGGACCCUGAGAUAGUGGUGGGCGUCGGAGGAUGAAAAUAGCACGAUGAAGCUUGUCUGGGAUUUACAGUCCUUGAGAAGGAGGAAAGUCUCGGGAAUAAUGGUUGAAACACGCUCCUUAACGCUCAGAGUAUGGGAGCCGAAAUCGUAAAAAAAAAAAAAAAAUGGAAGCGGAGGGGAAGAAAGAAAAUAGAAAAUAGUUUUUUUUUUCCGUAUAUUUUUGGUACUUGUGAUCAUGCGCAGGGGAUGAUUAUACAGCAUCCGUUUGACAUUCAUGCACAUCCGCUGUUGUGAGAGCAAGAACGUUGCAAGCAAAUGAUGGUCCGGUGUUUGAAUGUGUGUUGUUGUUGUUGUUGAAAAGAAUAUUAAACACAAAAUAAGUUUACUGGAAGACAAGAUAGCCAUUCGGGAUAUAUUGCGAACCUGUUUUUGUCUCAUCUAAUAAACUUAUUUCGUGCAAUACUGAUUUUUCAGAUUUUCUUGAAGUAUUUUUAUGUGCAAUAUCGACUUGAAAUCAUCCAAGAUAUAUGGUCCAUAUGAAUAUGAUUUUAUAAUAUCCAGCCUUUAUCACCAUAUCAGUACUAACAUAUUUGAUAUUGAUGAUGACCUUAUACAGUAAUUAUGCUCGCUUACAGUAAUAUCAUCUGUGAUUGUAAAUAUAGAAAAUACAAAUGCAUAAUACACGCAACAGCCUGGGAAUGCUUCUAAAUAACAGUGAGAUAGUAUUCAACCCUUUCGGUUCUUAAUAUUUUGACCUUUUCUACAAGUGCCACAUCGCACGAUAUGAGAGCCU